AAGGACAGGAUGAGGGAAUAGAACAUUGGGAUUGGGAGUGGUAUCUCUUUUAGAUACGUUUGUUAGGAAAGUUGUUUCUAAUUCUUGUCAGAUGUAGUAUGUCUCACACUGACUGUUGGUGGACUUGCUUCUAUUUUAAGCUGAAAAAUUGUAUGUUGUUUCUUCCCUCAUUAGGUUCGUUGAAGAAUAUAACAACGCUUAAAAUAGAUGAAAACCAGUUAAUGUAUCUGCCAGACUCUAUAGGAGGGUUAAUAUCAGUAGAAGAACUGGAUUGUAGUUUCAAUGAAGUUGAAGCUUUGCCUUCAUCUAUUGGGCAGCUUACUAACUUAAGAACUUUUGCUGCUGAUCAUAAUUACUUACAGCAGUUGCCCCCAGAG
rnacentral:lncRNA from 1 species